UGGGGAAUCUUGCGCAAUGGGCGAAAGCCUGACGCAGCGACGCCGCGUGAGUGAUGAAGGCCUUCGGGUUGUAAAGCUCUGUGGGGAGAGAAGAAUAAGUGCGGGCUAAUACCCCGCAUGAUGACGGUAUCUCCUUAGCAAGCACCGGCUAACUACGUGCCAGCAGCCGCGGUAAUACGUAGGGACCAAGCGUUGUUCGGAUUUACUGGGCGUAAAGGGCGCGUAGGCGGCAUGACAAGUCACUUGUGAAAUCUCUGGGCUUAACCCAGAACGGCCAAGUGAUACUGUCGCGCUAGAGUGCAGAAGGGGCAAUCGGAAUUCUUGGUGUAGCGGUGAAAUGCGUAGAUAUCAAGAGGAACACCUGAGGUGAAGACGGGUUGCUGGGCUGACACUGACGCUGAGGCGCGAAAGCCAGGGGAGCAAACGGGAUUAGGAUACCCGCGUAGUCCCUGAGCGGGCUGGCAAGGCGCAU
rnacentral:rRNA from 1 species